rnacentral:rRNA from 1 species
UACGUAGGGGGCGAGCGUUGUCCGGAUUUAUUGGGCGUAAAGAGCGUGUAGGCGGCUCGGUAAGUCUGUUGUGAAAUCCUGAGGCUCAACCUCGGGCGUGCGAUGGAUACUGCCGGGCUAGAGGGUGGUAGAGGCGAGUGGAAUUCCCGGUGUAGCGGUGAAAUGCGCAGAUAUCGGGAGGAACACCAGUAGCGAAGGCGGCUCGCUGGGCCACACCUGACGCUGAGACGCGAAAGCUAGGGGAGCGAACAGG